CGAGUUAGCGUGGAUCGCCCCGUACGUGGGGCUGGACGGCGCUAAUGCGUU
ensembl:miRNA